GCUUUUGGCAUGCCUAACACAUGCCGUCGCACGAGAAAGCCCGGUUCGCCGGGCGAGUAAAGUGGCGCACGGGUGAGUAACGCGUGGAUAAUCUACCUCGUUCUGGGGGAUAACCCAUCGAAAGGUGGGCUAAUACCGCAUAAUCCGGCUGAUUCAUGGAUUGGUCGGCAAAGGUGGCCUCUUGAUCAAAGCUACCGGGAAGAGAUGAGUCCGCGUCCCAUUAGCUAGUUGGUAGGGUAACGGCCUACCAAGGCGACGAUGGGUAGCUGGUCUGAGAGGACGAUCAGCCACACUGGAACUGGUACACGGUCCAGACUCCUACGGGAGGCAGCAGUGAGGAAUAUUGCGCAAUGGGGGAAACCCUGACGCAGCGAUGCCGCGUGGGUGAAGAAGGCCUUCGGGUCGUAAAGCCCUGUCAAGUGGGAAGAAUAGCCUGGGGACGAAUAAUCCUCAGGUGUGACGGUACCACUGAAGGAAGCACCGGCUAACUCCGUGCCAGCAGCCGCGGUAAGGCGGAGGGUGCAAGCGUUAUUCGGAAUUAUUGGGCGUAAAGAGCGUGUAGGCGGCCGGUCAAGCCAAUGUGAAAGCCCAGGGCUUAACCCUGGAAGGGCAUUUGGAACUGGUUGGCUUGAGUUCGGGAGAGGGAAGUGGAAUUCCGGGUGUAAAGGUGAAAUUCGUAGAUAUCCGGAGGAACACCGGUGGCGAAGGCGACUUCCUGGACCGAAACUGACGC
rnacentral:rRNA from 1 species